UUGUCCUACGGGGCGCAGCAGUGGGGAAUAUUGCACAAUGGGGGAAACCCUGAUGCAGCAACGCCGCGUGAAGGAAGACGGUUUUCGGAUUGUAAACUUCUGUUCUUAGUGAAGAAAAAUGACGGUAGCUAAGGAGCAAGCCACGGCUAACUACGUGCCAGCAGCCGCGGUAAUACGUAGGUGGCAAGCGUUGUCCGGAAUUACUGGGCGUAAAGCGUGCGUAGGCUGUUUCGUAAGUCGUGUGUGAAAGGCGCGGGCUCAAC
rnacentral:rRNA from 1 species